CUGUUCUGCCUUUGUCAAAGUCUCUUGAGAACCGUAGGAUGGGUUGGAAGGGUCUUUAAAAGUCAUAGAACCACAGAAUGGUUUGGGUUGGAAGGAACCCUAAAGGUUAUGGAGCCAUGGAAUGGGUUGGGUUGGAAGGGUCCUUAAAGGUCAUGGAAGCAGAGAAUUCUAGAAUGGGUUGGGUUGGAAGGGUCCUUAAAGGUCAUAGAACCAGAGAAUUCUAAAUGGGUUGGGUUGGAAGGGUCCUUAAAGGUCAUGAAAGCAGAGAUUCUAGAAUGGGUUGGGUUGGAAGGGUCCUUAAAGGUCGUAGAACCAGAGAAUUCUAAAUGGGUUGGGUUGGAAGGGUCCUUAAAGGUCAUGGAAGCAGAGAAUUCUAGAAUGGGUUGGGUUGGAAGGGUCCUUAAAGGUCGUAGAACCAGAGAAUUCUAGAAUGGGUUGGGUUGGAAGGGUCCUUAAAGGUCAUGGAAGCAGAGAAUUCUAGAAUGGGUUGGGUUGGAAGGGUCCUUAAAGGUCAUGGAAGCAGAGAAUGGUUUGGUUUGAAAAGGUCCUUAAAGGUCACAGAGCCUUGGGCAGGGAUGGGGCUCCCACAGCACUGCCAGCUCCUGAGCUCCAUCUGGGUGAAGCAUUUCCCCCCCCUAAAUCUCCUUCGCCUUGAAGCCCUUCUCCCAUGAGUUUGUUAAGGGCUUCCGUGAGCCAACAUUUGCUUCCUCUUUCUUUCAGGACCUGAACUUCAAAUUGAAUUUGCCCUCUUAGGAAAUCUCCCUUCCUCUUUCCCCUCCCGCGCCCCUCACCUCUAACAAAACCCAUUUUUGGUGUCUUCUGAGAGCAUUUCAGUGCUCGUGGAUUGGUGUCAACUCAUUCCUCAGUAAUUUUGUUCUCG